GAAUAGCGGUAUGCAGGACAGAUAGUGGGAAGGUGGGGCUUCAUCCGUGCGCUUUAUUUAGCGGGAUUUGGGGAAAAUGCGCGGAUGAUCGCGUUCCUUAUUAGCGCGCGACUCUGCGUUCAUCAGACUACACUUUCUCAGUGACAGGAGACACGAGAGGAUUUUCCACACCAGACAGCAUGGAUGAGGACUUUGAACGCCGUAGGGAGCUCCGGAGACAAAAGCGAGAAGAAAUGCAAAAAGAAGCAGAAAAGACGAGCCAUCAAAAUCUUGAAGAUGAUGAUGAAGAGGCUGCUCGAGAAAGAAGGAGGCGAGCCCGACAGGAAAGGCUGCGCAACAUGGAGAACGAGGAGAUGACCAACACUGCCAGAGAACUCAACAGCACUGCCAGUUUAACAGACACAAGCUCAUCAGCACUGAUAACCGCUAGCGAUGAUGACCAGGCUCUUCUGGAGCGGCUGGCCAAGCGUGAGGAGCGCAGACAGAGGAGGAUGAAGGAAGCUCUGGAGAGACAAAAGGAGUUUGACCCCACCAUCACUGAUGGGGAAGCCACUGUCACCACCACCACCAGUGAGGACCGGCCAAGCCGCAGGAGCCAUCUCAGGGAUGCAGAAGAGGAAAUGAACAAAAACGAGGUUCUGUCCUCAGAGACCAAAUCCUGGACAGAGAAGGAAAAAAAUAACCAGAACCUGAAUAUAGAGGAGUCAAAGGUGGAGGUUCAGGAGACCUCCUUCCCUGUGAAAGAGGAACCUGUGUCAGAGGAAAAGAAAGAUGAAGAGGGGGAAGCAGAGAGGCCCUGGAGAUCCUACCACAGAGAACAGGAAAAGGGUGAAGAGCAAUCUGUCAGUACAAACAGUGUGGCUGAGAAGGAAACAGACACAGUUUUAGACAGUACAGAUUUAGAAAAGAGAGAGAUUAAAGAUGAAAGUUUCUUAUCAAAGGAAGAGAAACCUGCGAAAGAAGAAGAAAAAGCUGAGGAACCUGUAAUAUCUAAGAUGGAAGAGGAAGAAAAGCCUGUGGAGGAGAAAAUAACAUUAGAUGCACCAUCAGAAACAAUAGUUAAGGAUGACAAAGAUUCUCUGGAGAACAAGGAUAUGGAGAAAUCUCAAAAAGAAUUAUUUGAUCCUUCACUGGAGAAGAAGGAAAUAGCUCAGAAAGAAACACCUGUGCCUGUGUUGGAGAAGACAGUAGUAGGAGAACCACUAAAAUACACAUUUGAGCCUCCAGGAGAGAAGAAAGUGUUGGAGAGAGUAAAGGAAGAUAUCCAUGAACCACCACUAGAGAAGAAGGUGGUGGUGAAAUUUAGGCAAGAAGAAGAGAAACCACAGAUGCUGGAGAGGACAAAGAGGGAGGUUGAGGUGAAGGUUGAGGUGAAGGUUGAACUCCCAAAGCAACAAGUUGAAGAGAAGCCUCCUGUGAAGGUUAAAGUAGAGGAGAAAAAAGUGCCACCAAAGAUGAUUGAAGAGAAACAAGCAGGUUUAAAAAACAAGGAGGUUGAAGACAAACCAAAAUGGAAGAAGGAGGCAGAAGAAAAAUCCAAAACAAAAAUUCAGGACAAAGUUAAACCUAAGGAGGUUGUGGAGGAAAAACCUAAAGCAUUCUUUUUACGUGACAAAAACGAAACAGUGAGGCAGCAGAAUGAGGAGGACGUCUCUAAAUUCAAGAAACAAGAGAAGCCAUUUGGCCGUGCGGGGCUGCGUUCUCCCGAGAUUGAAAAGUCAGACCCUGUGGCGAAGCAGGAGGCAGAGCAGAAGCUUGUGGAACUGAAACGCCGGAGGAACGAGACGGAGAGUGAGGAGUUUGAGAAGAUGAAGCAGAAACAGCAGACGGCUGAGGCUGAGCUUGAGGAACUGAAGAAGAAGAGAGAGGAGAGGCGGAAGAUCCUAGAGGAAGAGGAGAAGCGGAAAAAACAGAAGGAGGAUGAAAAGAAAGCCAAGGAGGAGCAAGAGAGGCAGAAGAUGAAGGAGGAGAUCGAGCGCAGGAGGGCCGAGGCAGCUGAGAAGAAACGGCAGAAAGAGGAAUCUGCUGAAGACGGAAAGUCACCAUUCAAAUGUCUGUCUCCGAAAGGAGCUUCAACAAAGAUUGGCGUGAAAGCAGAAUUUCUGAACAAGUCAGCCCAAAAAACACCGGUGAAGGUUCCACACACACCAAUAAUGUGUAAGAUAGGUAACAGACUGGAGCAGUACACCUCAGCCAUCCAGACUAAGGACGUGAAGUCCCCUAAGUCUCCUAAGGACCUUCCUGCGGCAGAAGGAAUGCGCAGCAUCAAGAGCAUGUGGGAAAAAGGUAACGUGCAGAACCCUGAUGCUCCCCUGCCUGCCGGUCCUGCCACCGUCAACAAGGAAACAGCUGGAUUGAACACAGGAGUGGCAGGCCGCAUCAACAGCUGGAAGACCAAGACUCCAGAAACGAAGACUCCUGAAACCAAGCUGGCAGAAACAAAGACCCUCGAAACAAAGGGCACGAAACCUAUUGAGACGAAGACGAUCGAGACGAAGACACCAGAAGCGAAAAGCACGAAACCAGUCGAGCCGAAAAAGAUAGAGGCAAAGACCCCCGAUCCGAAGAGCUUGAAACCCAGUGAGACGAAGCCGAGUGAGAAAAAGACCCCAGAGAUGAAGACUCUAGCAGUAGGAAAGCCUGCAGGAGGCAAAGCUGAACCAAAGCCCACCGACGUGUCUAAAACCCGCGGCCUGUGGGAAAACAAGGGCCCCACCUCCUCCAAGCAUUGACACAAAGCCUGGCGGGAAGGUUAAUACCGUGUUUGGACUUAAGACAACGCCAUUUACAAAUGGUACAAGGAAGUAAAACACCAAAGCAAACAACGAGCUUUUGAAACAAGACAAGAUCGCUGCAUACUGCAUACUUUUUACACCUUAAUGUCCUCCAGUCGUGUAUAAAAUCCAAUUAUAUAAUGCUUGGAAUAAUUACAAUGAAUCGUGCUAUAACAAAAGCAUAAGCACAUAAGAACCUCCUGUAUCCCAGAUCCUGUUUACACCAGGUCAUUUUAAUACAUCUGGAUUUUAUUCUGUUUUAUAUUUUAACCGCGUGCAUUUACACUCGAACUGGAAGAAAGACUUCCAGGAUUUUUAUUUAGAGAAAUUAAAAAUAACAAUCCAAGUGUUAUGUUCUUCAAAAAAAAGGUUCCUAGGUAGUGUAACCGUUCUCUUCAAAGAAUCCAUACUGACAUAACGAAGAGUGCAAGUUACACAGGAAGGGUUUAAAGUGAAAAAUUGGGAAGGGUUUGGGGUAUUUUGUGGCUUGUAGAGUCACAUGGAUAUAUGUGACAGUCUGGGAAAACUCUUAACCUACAACCUCUUUACCAUAAAUGGUGGAAAACAAAAAUUUUUUACCCCUGACUCUUACAAAGCACUAAUGGAGACUCCUUGGAUCAAAUUAAUGGAGGCUAAAUCAACAUUUUUUCAAAAUUGUGCCAAAAAAAACCCCAAAAAAGUUUUAUUUUUAAUGCCUACAAUAAAAUUUGACAUCUUAACAGUUUAACAAACACUGUAGUAAAAAAAUAGACAGUUUGCUAAAGAUGUCUAAAACCUUGAGUUAUUUCAUCACACACCAAACGUCCUGCUUUAAUCAAACCAGCUGAUAGUUAAUAAUGAAAGGGAAAUGGAUGGAAACCGAACUAAUUUAGUCCGGAAUCAGAUUCCAACGUCUUUGCAGAUCCUAAAAGAAAUCUUUAAAUAUGAACUUUUUGCUUUUCAUAUUAAAAGAAAGAUUUGUGACUAAAAUUCAUGUAAAGGAGAAACACAGUUCAGAUCGGGAAAGUCUGUGGAUUUCUUCUGAGACUUGUGACCAGGUGAAGGGUUUUUCCAGGCUGCAAAACAUUUCUACGUACUCUUUUCUUGGAUUUUCCAAACUUCUUUUUGUGCCUUUAUGUAAAACAUCUCCUUUCGACUAUUAUUCUAUAUAUGAUGCAAGAAGUGACAGGGUGAUAACUGGGUGGACGAGAAUUCUCGAUUUUAGUAAAUUAGAAAAACGAUAGAAAUGAUUUCGAUUACAAACGCAAAGCGAUGUACAGUAGAGAUGCUUGCUGUAUUUUCAUGUAAGCAUCCAUGCUCACCAUUAAUCAUUCAGUCAAUAGAGCGUGUCUUACAGAACGUCAUGGUUGUUGUACCUGCAUAGUGAAGAGUGAUAGUGAUGUCCAGUUUUACUGUGUAUCUGUUUUAUUUUCCCCAAGUCACUGCAUGGUGAAGCACACGGCUAUAAUACCAGCUUAUUGUAAGUGUAACACUCGGAGUAUUUAACACGUUGCUGCCAUACUAACAACUUUUAAGGUUGAACGAUUCUUUUUUCCACUGCAACGUCUUCAUGGUCAUCAUGCUUUCUCAGCACACGUCACCUACAGUAUAUAAACCACCUCGAUGUAGCAACAUGCAACAAGCUUCACAAGCACUGCAGAUCACAAUCAUAGACGAUCUCUGCUUUAUUCCUUCCCAUUCCUAAUAUAGAUACGUUACGAGUGUCCUUGAGUGUCCUGACUGUAUCAUGUAACGAGACAAAGUGUACCAAAUAAAUCUGAUUCCUUAUAUACUCA